GUCCUCUUGCAGAGCUCUUUUCGUCAUCUGCGCAAUGGCAGGAAUGAGACGGAAACCAGUGAAGCGUUCCUCGCAGGGCCUGUGACCUUAUGAGGUAAGGAUGGCCACUUGGAACCCUUGAAGCUGUGAGUCCCCUUGACUUCCUCCCAGGCACUGCCCUCCCAGAAGUGAAGGUACCAGGAGGCAGAGGAAACAGUAGCACCACGGUGCCAUCCUGGAUCCAACGGAGCAGGUGACAGACAGCAGGGGUCACAGGCAGGCCAACUUGGACUGAGGAAAAAAAAGUCGCAGGAAAGCAGCUGGGCAUCCUGCCUUGCUUCGCCCUUGGACUUCUGCAGGGUCCGUUUGCCCUUUGUUUGACUCCCAGACCCCACUGAGCUGGGAACCAACCAGUGGGCUGGAAGCCCAGGAUGGGGUGGCCCACCUAGUAGGGACGACAUUUACUUGCACAAAAGAUGGUCUCCAGGAGCCCCUUCAGGACCGAAGCAGGGAAACACUGUCGCCCUGGAGAGCUGGGAGAGGGGGAGGCAGCAGCAGUCGCUGGCCAGAGAGGGGCGAAACAGAGCUCAGGGUCCCUGCAGCGGGUGGGGGAAGCUCAGGUCCAGGUGGGCUUUGUGUUCCUUGAGGUUCUCCGCCAAGGUUCUGCUUCAUCAGGCCUCUGCCGAGUUCUCUGGCCUCACCUGUCCACCGCUGCUCCGUGCAGCCACCUUUCCCCUGCUCCCCAAGGUGCGUCCAUUUCUGAGUUUCCCUCCUCUGGACCUGUGACCAUGCCAUCCCUCCUGCCUGGACUGCCUCCCAGUCUCUCAGUAGUACCACCUCCAGGUUCAGCUUGUGGUUCCGGCUGGUGGGUGUGCCACAGCCAGACGCUGUGCUCAGCGGGGAUACCCUAACCCUGGGUGAUCUGGGGUCACUCCCGUCAACCUGGGGGGCUCUGCAGGCAGGGAAGAGCCUCCUGGGUCUCUGCUCCAGCCCUGGCUUUACACAAAUGUGCCUGAGAAAACACGGUGUCCUGACACCUGGCCUCAUGCCACCUGGUGACGGCAUCUGAGCCAUCACCAGUGAUCAUUCACCCCUUUUCCCUUUUCCAGACAGCACGAAAAUCCAACACGCCCCUCACCGGAGGACUGGGAGGCUCCCGCGUUUUGGAUUCUGAAAAGCACUCCCUCGUUCACGUCUGCCUGGAUUCGCGCCCUCAAGCCCCCUGGCGCCCACUUUUCUUGCUCUCCAAACACUCGUUGAGGCCCGAGAGGGAGAUGCGAAGUUUGCCCACCACUGCGCGUCCCUCCUCCGCGAGGCGCCAAUGGGCCUGAGUCAGGGGCCUCCCCUUCAUCCGCUGGUCCCUCCCCUGUUCCCAGCUCCAGUUCCUCACCCGCUAUGGCUGGCCUGGCGCCUGUGGCCGUUCACCGUCUGCGAGGCAUCUGCGGGGACUGAAGUCGGGGAGGCAGCGGCGGGCUCUGGCAGAUACCAGGAGAUCCCGCCCCUCGGCCCGGGAGACCCCGCCCCUCGGCCACGCCCCUUUCCGCUCCCCACCCCGCCCUCUUGGGCCCCCCACCCGGCCCAGCCAGACAGAGACCUGCCUCCAGGUGGGUGGGAGGAGACCUUCAGUCCCUCGCCCCGGGCCUGUUGUCACUACCUCCCCCAAACACAUUGGUUAAAGUCACCCGAUUAGAAGGGGCCACCUGUGAGACUUGGAUCCAAAGCAAACUAGCGGAAGCUGAAGGGUCUUGGGGCUUCCCAGGCCUCUCGGAGGCCGGGAUGGUCGUGGAGGAGGGAGCGCUCAGUGCCUGGCCUACUGCCUGCCCUGAGCCGGCUCCCUACAGGACGCUUCUCCUGUACCUUCCACCUGCUGCGAGGAAGGGCUGGGGGCAGGCGUACCCAUUUUCCAGAGGAGAACUGAAGGCUCUCACCCCGGGUUAGGCCAGUGGCCGGAGGCAGAGCCGGGCCUUGAACCUGGCUUUCUGGAUCUUCAUCCAGGCCAUUCUAAAGGGGAUCACAGUUUCCAGGAGUCACUCCUGAAGAUGGUCAAGUACCAUGGAGGGGCAGGGCAUCCAUGGACCCUGAUUUGAGGCCCCGGAGCAGUUGGGACUGGUUUGGGCCACGGCUGGCCUAAUCUCCCCUCCACAGAGCCUGGGCAUUGUCCAGUUGGCAGCCAAGAGCCAUCUAUCCACUUUACAGCGGGCAGCUUUGACAGGCUGCUUGUUUCCAAGGACAAAGCCUGCAGGCUGUGGGUAGGCGAUAGCCACUGCGGACCUCGGGCUCAUUGCCUGGGUACAGGGGGUGGGGAGCCUGAGGUCUGCCAGGACCCAAGGGAGCCUCGAGGGUGGCCUGAGGACAUUGGGUCCUCACUCCUGGCCCCUCAGCCAACCCCCUCAUAGCCCAGGGCCAGGAAUUUUGGAAGGAAGAACCAGCCACUGGGAUGUUUUCACUUUUGGGUCACCCUGAUCCCCCCAGAAUCGAGGCUUGGCCAUCAGCCAGCUUUUAUGUGACCCAGGCAGCUCUCUCCACUCUGUUUCUUCUUCUACAGAAUGUUGAGAAUCACCUCUUUCUCUCAGGGACAUAAAGCAUGGCUGUGAGAGAGAUUUGUGAGUGUUGGGGUCACUGUAAUUACUCUCUGAGGGUGCCUGUCUUGAGCUCUGUAGACAAAGUGGGAUCCCUUCCCCUCUCUCAUACCCCUACAAACUUUGGGCCUCGAGUAUCCAGGAUGGGCCCAGAACCAGCACUGGCACAGCCUCCUCUCUGGCCUGAUCCAAGCCCUCUCCCACACAGCAGUCAGGCUGAUCUUCCUAAAAUUUCCGUCUAUUGAGCUUACAUUAAAAUAAUAAUAAUAAUAAUAAUAAUAAUAAUAAUAAUAAUAAUAACAACAUUUCUGUCUGAUUUUGUCUCUCCUCUGCUCAAAAUCCCUCUGUGGAUCCCUAGUGCCUCCAGGAGAAAGUCCACCCUUCCUCUCACGGCUCACCCAAUCUACCCCAGCCGUGGCUCCUCCCUCACUGUGCCUCUUCCCCUUACCUUCUAGCCAGAGUGAAAUCCCCAGGCCUCUGCGUGCACCAUUCCCUCUGCUUAGGAAUAGGCAGACCUGCCCCCAGGUCUUUUCUGGUUCAUUUCCACUUAUCCUUCAGGUUUCUAGGAUGCUUUCCCUGACCUCCACUUAAAUUGGCUCAGGAGUUCCCUGAUCUCCACAAAUGUCAGGAACUUGUCCACCCGCCUGCCCCCAGCACCCAGGUUACACCUGACAAAGUAAGCGCUUUGGAAUGCUCCAACAGACCUAGUCAUACCAUACCCGGACAGAUGCCUUGCGUGUGUGUUUGAGGGUGGUGGUGCUGGGGACAGUGGGAAGGGACUCUGCCUCAUGGACCCCCAAGGCCAGACACCUGCACUGCUGCUUGUGGCCACUGG
rnacentral:lncRNA from 1 species